GUUGGAGCGGUGAUGAGCAAUUUUUUUGUGGACUAGAGUUUCUGAUACUACCUUGGUAGUAUUUGAAGACCAAACCCUUGGCUGUCUGAGCUCCUCA
rnacentral:snoRNA from 1 species